rnacentral:lncRNA from 10 species
CUGCCCUCUUGGUGGUAGUGGUCCCCCGGGCCCAGCUGUCUUUUCUUUUAUCUCUUUGUCUUGUGUCUUUAUUUCUACAAUCUCUCAUCUCCGCACACGGGGAGAAAAACCCACCCACCCUGUGGGGCUGGUCCCUACAAGUUGCUACAGCAGCAAAAUGGGGAUAAUAGCACCUACUUUACAAGGAAUGAAGGAAUGCAAACAAUGAGAACAGUGCUAGCAGAGAAGCACUACCUGUGAAUCUGCUAUUACUCAAAGAAGAACUAUUCAAACCAUUGCUAGCAUCAGAUAUUAGGAUUUUAAGAAUGACCCCAAGUUUAUCAGAAGGCUCCUGUGGCUCCAGGGUCAACUCUGGGCAUAUCUGACUACAUCACUCCACCCCUACCAUGGUCUCUCCUCUGUACCCCAGCGUUCCAGGACAUCAUCAAGAAAGUGAACAGACAACACACACACAGAAUGAGAGAAAAUAUUUGCAAAUCAUUGGUAAAGGACUGGAAUUGGUAUGUCAAAUAUGUGAACAAGUCUUACAACUCAAUAAUAGAAUGACAACCCAACUUUAAAAUGGGCAAAGGAUGUGAAUAGAUAUUUCUCCAAAGAAGAUAUACAAAUGAUCAAUAAACAUGGGAAAAGACAGCCAACAUCAUUCAUUGUUAGGAAAAUGAAAAUCAAAACCACAAUGAGAUACCACUUUGUACCCACUAAUAUGGCUAUAAUAAAAAGGACAGAUAAUAAGCGUUGCUGAGGAUGUGGAGAAAUUGGAAACCUCAUCCACUGCUUGGGGAAAUGGAAAAUGGUGCACCCACUUUGGAAAGCAGCUGGCUGUUCUUCAAAACAUUAAACUGAGUUACCAUCCAACCCAGCAAUUCCACUGCUAGUUAUCUACCUGAGAGAAAUGAAAACAUGUCCUCAUAACAACUUUCACAGGAAUGUUCAUAGUAGCAUUAUGCAUAAUAGCAAAGAAGUGGAAACAACUCAUAUGUCCAUAAACUGCUGGAUAAACAAAAGGUGGUAUAUCCAUUCUGUGAAAUAUUAUUUGGUAAUAAAAAGAAAUGAAGUACUGAUGCAUGCAUGGAUGAACCUUGAAAAUAUUUUGCUAAGAAGCCAGUCACAAAAGACCACAUAUUGUAUGUUUCCAUUUAUAUGAAAUAAAACAGACACAUCCAUGGACAGAAAGUAGGUUAGUAGUUGCCUAGGGCUGAGGAGUGAAUGGAUUGUGGGGAGGUGUUGAGAGGUGAAAGCUAAGGGUGUAGGGUUUCUUUUCGUGGUAAUGACAGUGUUCUAAAAUUGAUUGUGGCCAUGGAUGCACAACUCUGUGACUAUACCAAAAACUUAACUCUUACAAUUAUAAAUAAAUUGUAUGGUAUGGGAAUUAUAUUUCAAUGAAAUUGUUAUUAAAAACAACUCUUUGCCCAGCGGACACCCAAACCUUUCCCCAGCGGACACCCAAACCUUUCCCCAAGAUGGCUGUAAAUUAUCUUGGGGUGGGAAUGGGGAGGUCCUCCUUUGGUCCUAGCUCUUGAUCCAAUAAUUCUGACGUCAUCUACAACACGUUUACCUAGAAAUGAAACUCAGCUCUUUGCUGAAGUUCUAUCCUCCCAAACCACCCUUCUUUCCCUUCCUAGGAAGCAUUCAUGAUUUCACUGUAGAUGGGGCAGGG